rnacentral:rRNA from 1 species
UACGAAGGGGGCAAGCGUUGUUCGGAAUUACUGGGCGUAAAGGGCUCGUAGGCGGCCAACUAAGUCCGACGUGAAAUCCCAAGGCUUAACCUUGGAACUGCGUCGGAUACUGGAUGGCUUGAAUUCGGGAGAGGGAUGCAGAAUUCCAGGUGUAGCGGUGAAAUGCGUAGAUAUCUGGAGGAAUACCGGUGGCGAAGGCGGCAUCCUGGACCGACAUUGACGCUGAGGAGCGAAAGCUAGGGGAGCAAACGGG